GUGGAUUAGAUAGGAGCUGGCAAAGGCCUGCAGGAGUGGCAGCAAAACUUAUAGAUUGCAAAGCAUCUAAAGGUAAUUCUCCACUCAUAGUCAUACAUACCAACUCAGGAUUGUUCAUGAGUUAUAAUGGCUCGAAUUUGAUGACGAUAAGGAUGAUCGUCAGGGCUUCUGAAAUUAUUAAAUUAAAGAAAGGAUGAGAUCAAUUCAGAAGUAAUUUUUUUAUUUAAUUUCGAAUUGCUUCAUCGAGUAUUCGCUACAAAAACCCGGUAAAAAAAGUUGCAAGCACCUGUUUUCAGCACUUGGGAUGGCAACCAAUGGCUGGUACAACAGACUGUAUACAGUCGCCGGACAGUACUUAGAAAGGAGAUUCGACGCUUAAAUUAGACAAUCUAGAUAGGAUGGUGCACAAAACUGAAUCCUGUUUCGUUUACUGCAAGUGCGAAAGCUGUAUUUGGUUUUGCAGGCUGUCAAAUCCUUCAGGAUCAUUAAUUUCAAAUGGAAUAGAAAAUCAGAGUGAUUAAUUUGGU